rnacentral:rRNA from 1 species
AUUGAACGCUGGCGGCAGGCCUAACACAUGCAAGUCGAGCGGCAGCGGGAAAGUAGCUUGCUACUUUUGCCGGCGAGCGGCGGACGGGUGAGUAAUGCCUGGGAAAUUGCCCAGUCGAGGGGGAUAACAGUUGGAAACGACUGCUAAUACCGCAUACGCCCUACGGGGGAAAGCAGGGGACCUUCGGGCCUUGCGCGACUGGAUAUGCCCAGGUGGGAUUAGCUAGUUGGUGAGGUAAUGGCUCACCAAGGCGACGAUCCCUAGCUGGUCUGAGAGGAUGAUCAGCCACACUGGAGCUGAGACACGGUCCAGACUCCUACGGGAGGCAGCAGUGGGGAAUAUUGCGCAAUGGGGGAAACCCUGAUGCAGCCAUGCCGCGUGUGUGAAGAAGGCCUUCGGGUUGUAAAGCACUUUCAGCGAGGAGGAAAGGUUGUUGGCUAAUAUCCAACAGCUGUGACGUUACUCGCAGAAGAAGCACCGGCUAACUCCGUGCCAGCCGCCGCCGUAAAAC